UUUCCGUAGGUGAACCUGCGGAAGGAUCAUUAUUGUAUAACCGAGGUGCGAGGGCUGUUGCUGACCCGAAAGGUCGUGCACGCCCGAGUGCCCUCACACACAUCCAUCUCACCCCUAUGUGCACCACCGCGUGAGUCCCCCUUUGGCUUGUUCGGAGGGGGGCUUACGUUUUCACACAAACUUUGUAUGCAGUGUAGAAUGUAUUUUUUGUUUUUGCGAUCACGCAAUCAAUACAACUUUCAACAACGGAUCUCUUGGCUCUC
rnacentral:misc_RNA from 1 species